rnacentral:lncRNA from 1 species
CCCCCUAUGUUCUAUUUUUAGCCGUGGUGGCCAUCUUGGUUAGUUGGCCGGGUCACCGGACACAUUUUGUAAACUAGAUACCCCAAUGAUGAUUGUGGCCAAGUUUGGUUUAAUUUGGCCCAGUAGUUUCAGAGGAGAAGAUUUUUCUAAAAGAUAACUAAGAUUUACGAAAAAUGGUUAAAAAAUUGACUAUAAAGGGCAAUAACUCCUAAAGGGGUCAACUGACCAUUUGGGUCAGGUUGACUUAUUUGUAAAUCUUACUUUGCUGAACAUUAUUGCUGUUUACAGUUUAUCUCUAUCUAUAAUAAUAUUCAAGAUAAUAACCAAAAACAGUAAAAUUUCCUUAAAAUUACCAAUUAUGGGGCAGCAACCCAACAACGGGUUGUCCGAUUCAUCUGAAAAUUUCAGGGCAGAUAGAUCUUGACCUGAUGAACAAUUUUACCCCCAUGUCAGAUUUGCUCUAAAUGCUUUGGUUUUUGAGUUAUAAGCCAAAAACUGCAUUUUACCCCUAUGUUCUAUUUUUAGCCAUGGCGGCCAUCUUGGUUGGUUGACCGGGUCACCAGACACAUUUUUUAAACUAGAUACCCCAAUGAUGAUUGUGGCCAAGUUUGGUUAAAUUUGGCCCAGUAGUUUCAGAGGAGAAGAUUUUUGUAAAAGUUAACGACGCCAGACGACGACGGACGACGGACGACAGACGACGACGACACGACGACGGACGACGGACGCCGGACGCCAAGUGCUGAGAAAAGCUCACUUGGCCCUUUGGGCCAGGUGAGCUAAAAAUGGUUAAAAAUUGACUAUAAAGGGCAAUAACUCCUAAAGGGGUCAACUGGCCAUUUCGGUCAUGUUGACUUAUUUGUAAAUCUUACUUUGCUGAACAUAAUUGCUG